rnacentral:rRNA from 1 species
CCCUUAGAUGUUCUGGGCUGCACGCGUGCUACAAUGGCGUUUCCAGCAAGUCUGCGAACCCGAGAGGGCCAGCGGAUCUUCGAAUUGGCGUCGUGAUCGGGACAGUCGAUUGCAAUUAUUUGACUCAAACGAGGAAUUCCUUGUAAUCGCGAUUCAUCAUAUCGCGCUGAAUACGUCCCUGCCCUUUGUACACACCGCCCGUCGCUCCUACCGAUUGAGCGAUCCGGUAAAUGUUUUGGAUUGGUGCCGGGGCGGCUAGCUGCCGGUCGCUACGAAAUUUUGUGAACCUUAUCAUUUAGAGGAAGGUGAAGUCGUAACA